GUACCAUAGUACUGAAUUUAUAUUGCAAGUGGUCAUGUGUAGUGUAGCCACUAAUACGCGUGUUGCUAGCCUUAGCUAGUAGUAUCAACUAUCAACUAGAUAUGGAAGAGAGUGUGGAUAACGCUUCUUUGUUCCCCUAUAUUCCAAACGCAUACAUUCAUUUAUCACCUCUAUGGCCAUAAGAUUGAUGACGUUAGGGUAUUAUUUUUCAUCUCGUAUUUAAUGGUCGGGGGUUCAUAUUGAUUCCUUAGUUUUAAAAAUAGUUUGUUUGGCCUCUCCAUUUUUCUAUUUGUUUGAAGUUUAUCUUUAUUUAUAGUAGUUCUUCUUCAAUCCCAUCAAGGACUUCAUCUACAACCUUGCGAAUUAGGUACAUAUAAUCAUAUUGAAAAUUGAGAUCCCUAGUACGAAUAAGGGUUCGUUACACUUCUUGUGCAUUCCAAGAACAAAAAAAAAAUGUUGUCUACAAACUCGUCUUUGUUUCCAAACUUUUUUGGUAAUGAUGGAGAAGACAGUGAUAUUACUAAAUUUAGGGUUUAUUCAUCUUCUUCAAAGAAGCAAUGGAGUCCUAGUUGUUGGUGAGAAAACUUGAUUGUGCUUUGAAGGGAAACACGAAUUAAGAGUUUUAGAAAGUAAAUUUAGGAAUGUCCACACUAUAAGGUUAUGAUUUUGAUGAAAAGGCGUGGCCAAAACAUCAGAAGCCACCAGGUUAUGUGUCCGCGCUACAUACGUUCUAAUGAACAGUAGAAACCACUUCAGAAGCAGAAGCAUCUGAAGUCAUCACUCUGUUACGAAGUCUGAAUAAACCAGUUCUGAAGACCACGUGUUGUAAGACUCUGAAGACGUAGUUCUGAAGACUUGAAGCUCUGAAGACUUAAGUUUCUGAAGACAGAGGAUUCUGAAGACCAAGUGCUGAAUACUCUAAAGAUGUGACUCUGAAGACUUGAAGUUCUAAAGAAUUCAAAGCUUUUCUCUUUUCUUCCAACUCAUGUUGUGAGCCUCUGAAGUUCAAUAAAGAAGAAGAUAAUGUACUAUGUAGUACAAGGUACAAAUGAAUGUUUCGUUCCACUACCAAGAAAGGAAGGGCGUUGCAUAAUAUCUUGUCCCUCACUACGUUCAAGCCUCCAAACUUCUGAAAGUUUCAGAACUGUCCUCCAACAGAUAUACUAUUGUAUUAGUUAUAUAAAGGCUUAAAGACUCAAAGAAGAAGCUGCCAAUUCACGAUCA